rnacentral:rRNA from 1 species
GAUGAAUGCUGGCGGCGUGCCUAACACAUGCAAGUCGAGCGGUAACAGGAGUAGUUUACUACUUGCUGACGAGCGGCGAACGGCUGAGUAACGCGUGGGAACGUGCCCCAAAGUGAGGGAUAACUGCCCGAAAGGGUGGCUAAUACCGCAUAUGGUCUUCGGAUUAAAGGAUUUAUCCGCUUUGGGAGCGGCCCGCGUUAGAUUAGGUAGUUGGUAGAGUAAUGGCCUACCAAGCCUACGAUCUAUAGCUGGUCUGAGAGGAUGACCAGCCAGACUGGAACUGAGACACGGUCCAGACUCCUACGGGAGGCAGCAGUGAGGAAUCUUCCACAAUGGGCGAAAGCCUGAUGGAGCAACGCCGCGUGAAGGAUGAAGGCCCUCGGGUUGUAAACUUCUUUUAUAAGUGAAGAAUAUGACGGUAACUUAUGAAUAAGCACCGGCUAACUACGUGCCAGCCGCCGCCGUAA